UACGGGGGGGGUAAGCGUUGUUCGGAAUUACUGGGCGUAAAGGGCUCGUAGGCGGCCAACUAAGUCAUACGUGAAAUCCCUCAGCUUAACUGGGGAACUGCGUGUGAUACUGGAUGGCUUGGAUUUGGGAGAGGGAUGCGGAAUUCCUGGUGUAGCGGUGAAAUGCGCAGAUAUCAGGAGGAACACCGGUGGCGAAGGCGGAUCUCUGGGCCUUACCUGACGCUCAGGCGCGAAAGCUAGGGGGAGCGAACAGG
rnacentral:rRNA from 1 species